UCCUAACAAACAAUAGGUACCUUACUGAUGUUGAAAAGCUGUGGAGUCAUUCCACAGUGUCAUCCAGGGGUUUGCUCCCAAAUCUUUGGUUUCCCUUUCAAUGGAAUGCUAUGCAUGGAUGUACACUCCUUAUGAACUUCAUCAUACAAUAAAACAAGUCUUUAGACAGGCAAAUGUGACUGGGGGACAAAUUGUCUGCAGAAACUGGUUUUGUUCAGUGAAGGUGUGAGACAUGAGUAAUGGUCUGGAGACAUCAGGCCUAAUUGCCGGCCAUCAAAAUGCAAAUCAUUUCAGUUUUAGGCUGCUCUAACUGAAAGGCACUUGUAACAACACUGGUUAGAGUACAGCUUUAGCACAGCUUACAGUUUUAGCAACUGCUUUUGCUGUGAGUUAACAGGAGUAUUUUGCUUGGUGAGAUUCACAAAACCUUGCAGCCAUGCACUACAAUGAGAAUAGUGAGCACCACAACGGAAGACAGCUAAGGGGAAACUAAUGUACAGACAGAGGCCAAAAGGGGAGGCUACACCGUGAAACAAGUGAAGACAGAGCCAACAAUUUGCUAUGUCUUAGACCUGAUGCUACUGGUGUUCGAGGAGAUCAUCCAUGACCCCCUUCCUUAUGUGGAUGCCGUCCAGCGGAUUCCUGUGUCCCAGGACCUGUGUGCUCAGCUUGACAGGCCUUUCAUGGAGGAUGCUGUUGCUGAACAUGUGUCACGGUUCAGUUGAGGGGGGGUCUGAACCCGACGUACUGCCCUGAAGCAUCCGGAAACUCCCUCCGUAUGCUUGUAUACACAAGAGGGGAUCAAGACACAGACACUUCUUCCAAGGAAACCCCAGCACCAGCUCACAAAAGUCCUGUAGGCCAAGUGUCUGCAUUGCCUGCAAAGAGAACAGGGUGGAAAAGCACACUUUUUUUUAUUAUUAUUUUUUUAU